GUCUCACCGGACUGGGGAGACGCACUGAGGACCGAGUACUCAAAGCAGGCACCGGCGGCUGUACUGGGUUAUGGAUGCGCACUGGAGGGAGAGUGCGAAGAACAGGCACAGGACGUACUGGAUUCUGGAGGCGCGCUGGAGGGAGAGCGCGAGGAGCAGGCACAGGACGUACUGUGCUAUGGAGGCGCACUGGAGAGAGAGUGUGAGAGGCAGGCACAUGCUUACCACAAAAAGCACGGGGAAUUGGCUCAGGUCCAAGUCCUGGCCCAGCCAAACUACCCGUGUGCCCCCCCCAAAAAACACUUUUGAGGGCUGCCUCUCGUUCUUCCCAGGUAGGCUCUGAUAUCAUUCGAUUACCUGGCCCCAAGUCCAGUCUCUCCUCUCAAUCCACUCCUGAUGUGACCAGAUGUCCAUUUCUGCCCGGGCACGGAGCUUGAUCCAAUCAUGGCUUGAUUACCAACAAUGAUGAGACAGCCUACAGAAAGGAAGUGAAACCCUCACAAACUUCUACAGAAGCAUCAUUCGGAGCAUCCUGUCGGCUGUAUCACCACCUGGUACUUCAAUUGCACCGCACAUGCAGGGCUCUCCAGAGGGUGGUGAAGUCAGCCCAACGCAUCACCAGGGCACACUGCCUGCCCUCCAGGACAUCUACAGCACCCAGUGUCACAGGAAGGCCAAGAUGAUCAUCAAGGACCUCAGCCACCUGAACCACGGCCUGUUCACCCCGCUACCAUCUAGAACGCAGAGACAGUACAGGUGCAUCAAGGCAAAUCUCCAGGCCAUCAGACUGAAUCUUAUACUGUUCUAGCCAGCUACCACCCUGCACCUUAGAAACUGCUGCCUUAUGUACAUAGAGUCAUUGAAUAAUGGUGGCCUUAACCUUUUACUGCAGUGGGCUAAAUCAGGGUCCCACAGAGUAAUUCUUGGUGUUCUUAAACAAAUCUACUGUGAAACAAAAGUAUACACACACAAGAAUAUGGGCUUAAAAAAACAAAGACACCUGUACCAUGUCAGAUAUAGAGUUGAAAUGGAUUACAUUUUGACUUUGCAUCCAAUAUUACCCUUUAUAUACAUCACAGAAGACUGAAAUAAAGCAAAACUGUUUGACAUAGAAACACCGGAUUUUCUGCAAGUGUUUUCAAAUAAUCUUUAUUAAUUAUGACAUUAUAAAAAAUAUGACUAACAUUCCACCCAUGAGGCAAAGGGGGUGCUUUUGGCCAUUGACUAAAGGAAAGGGAUACUAAUGUUUACGUACUGUUUCACUCAAUUUAUACACUGAAUGUACAAUACAUAAAAAAAAAAAAAUUAGGAACACCUGCUCUUUCCAUGACAUAGACUGGCCAGGUGACUCCAGGUGAAAGCUGUGAACCCUUAUUGAUGUCAUCUGUUAAAAAUUCAAUCAGUGUAGAUGAAUGUAGAGGAGACAGGUUAAAAAAUGAUUUUUAAGCCUUGAGACAAUUGAGGAUUGUGUAUUUGUGCUAUUCAGAGGGUGAAUGGGCAAGACAAAAGUGCUUUUGAACAGGGUAUGGUUGUCACGUCCUGACCAUAGAGAGCUCUUAUUUUCUAUGGUAGAGUAGGUCAGGGCAUGACUGAGGGGGGUUUAUCUAGUUUAUUUAGUUCUAUGUUGUUUGGUUCUAGUUUCUUUUUUCUAUGUUGGGGUUUUUGUAUGAUCAUCGUUGUCUCUAAUUGGGGAUCAUAUUUAAGUAGUUGUUUUUCCCACCUGUGUUUGUGGGAGAUUAUUUUGACUUAGU
rnacentral:lncRNA from 1 species